rnacentral:miRNA from 1 species
CAGCAGACACAGUCCAGCCAAUCAGCAGCAGACCCUCCCUCACAGACCCCCCCACCUCCUGGACAGCAUCCAUUUUGAAGCUACAUUCUUAGUGAGCUGUCCAGGAGGUGGGAGGGUCUGGGAGAGAGGGUCUGCUGCUGAUUGGCUGGAAUGUGUCUGCU